rnacentral:rRNA from 1 species
AACGAACGCUGGCGGCAGGCUUAACACAUGCAAGUCGAACGGGCAUAGCAAUAUGUCAGUGGCAGACGGGUGAGUAACGCGUGGGAACAUACCCAUCACUACGGAAUAACUCAGGGAAACUUGUGCUAAUACCGUAUACGACCGAGAGGUGAAAGAUUUAUCGCCUUAGGAGCGGCCCGCGUCGGAUUAGCUAGUUGGUGGGGUAACGGCUUACCAAGGCUUCGAUCCGUAGCUGGUCUGAGAGGACGAUCAGCCACACUGGGACUGAGACACGGCCCAGACUCCUACGGGAGGCAGCAGUGGGGAAUCUUGCGCAAUGGGGGCAACCCUGACGCAGCCAUGCCGCGUGAAUGAUGAAGGCCUUAGGGUUGUAAAGUUCUUUUGCCCGUGACGAUGAUGACGGUAACGGGAGAAUAAGCUCCGGCUAACUUCGUG